rnacentral:lncRNA from 1 species
UUGCCAAAGUUAAGGAUGUGUGCGUGGGAGACAGGACUAUGCCUUUCUCCAAAGAUGAUUUUGAGGGCUCCAAAUUCAAAAGGGAAAUCGAUGAGAGUCCUUUUCCAGCCAUACACAUAUGAAGGGCUUGCCCUCUUCCAUUGGGCACGGUGGCCUGAACACCAGGAUAUUUUUGGGAUAUAUAUAGCUAGGUAGGGAACACACACUCCAAAACUCAAUUCCCUAAAACAAGGACCAUUUCACUGUGCUCAGGAUCCUGUGGGAGGGGCACAGCAGGGGCUGCCUGAGCCUGUUCCACAACUCUCCCGCCCCAGCGGAGCGUGGCUUCCCUGGCUGGAGGUGACUGAGAUGGCCCCACAGGGUCCCAUGACCUCUCCAGGCCAUCCCUGUCUCCUGGGCUGGAAGAUGUGAGCUAGCCCUUCCCCAUGUCGGCUGGGGCUGCACUGACGGAAAGGGCUGGGGGCUGACCAGCGUUGCUCUGCCCACUUCUCUCUUCAGCGUGGGCUGGACUGUGCAUUCCCAGACACCAAGGUGGGUACUUCAAGCCUUCUGAUCACUGAGUCUCUGAAGUGACAUGUGUCGCCACCAUGGUGCUACUGGUGACACAAGGACAGGCAGCUCAGUGUUGGGGGAGCGUCCCACGCAUGACACUGAAGGUGUGGUCUCUUGGGGAGCCAUCUGGAGACCAGUUACUAGUCAUCUGGAGAUUGGUUACUAGUCAUCGGGAAACUGGUUAUUAGCCAUCUGGAGACUGGUUACUAGUCAUCUGGAAAUUGGUUACUAGCCAUUUGGAGACCAGGGUACUAGUCAUUUGGAGACUGGUUACUCGUCAUCUGGCAGUGGGUUACUAGUUUGGAGACUGAUUAAUUACUAGUCAUCUGAAGAUUAGUUAAUAGUCAUCUGGAGACUGGCUACUAGCCGUCUGGAGACUGGUUACAAGUCAUUCGGAGACUGGUUACUAGCCAUCUGGAGACUGGUUAGUUAUCAGUCAUCUGGAGACUGGUUAGUAGUCAUCUGGAGAUUGGCUACUAGUCAUGAUCUGGUUACUGAUCAUCUGAAGAUUGGUUACUAGCCAUCUGGCAAUUGGUUACAAUCAGUUACUAGUCAUCUGGAGACUGGUUACUAGUCAUCUGAAGAUUGGUUACUAGGCUUGUGGAGACUGGUUAGUGCACAGAAGCACUAUCCAGAGGUUGAACCUCAGAAACACCAAUUCACCAUCAGACACAGAGGCCAGUCCAAGUGCGCUUCUCGUCCGAUGCAUGCACCUGGUUCCCGUUCCAGCCGUCACACCCCAUUAGCCAAGGAGAGGAAUGAGAGUAAUAAUAAUUAAAUAGUAAUGAUGGGAAACAGUGCACAGUUAGGACAGGUGCUUGCACUGUGCUUGCCCAUGCCCGAUCCUGAGCUAAGUCCUGUGCAUAUACACACCCACUUUAUCCUCAGAAUGCCAACAGAAGACAGGUGCUGUCACUUCCUCCCUUCCACAGCAGAGGAGGGCAGAGCACAGAGGUUUCAGUAGCAUGACCAGGGUCUACCCCAGGCACAGGCUCCAACAUCGCGCCCUUAGCCACUGUGAGUUAUGGCAGGUGGUGCUGGGUCUCCUUUUACUUGGGCCUGUGGACAGAGCAGGGGGCUCAGGUGACACUUCCCACCCACCGGCCUUCUCUCUCUGCCGGCGACAUGCAGGGCCCCGAGCCGGGACUCUCCUGGGGCGCCCAGGACAGCUUUCCUCUUACGUAGGCGUCCCCUGUUCUUGCUGGGCAUUCCCCGCCUGCCCCUGCCUGCCCCCCACUCGGCCCAUCUGUUCCCAGGCCCUGAUCCCAGCCUCCAAGCCAGUCUUGCCAGCACACACGGACAGGAAAUGAUGGCACUUUUAAAGAUGCAACGCUUUUGUUUUGGAGUCACCUAUUGAGCCAAGACACGGGGACCUGGGCAACACGUGGUUUUGUGGAUUGGUGCUGGGAAGGGGUGGCCUGGGAAAGCUAAGGAUGGAGGAGAGGAAAAGGGAAGCUGCAGGCUGCUGUGAGGGGUACCCCUGGUCAAAUGGCACUUUGGGGAUGAGGAGACUUGGGAUCCACUUGUAACCCCAGCCGCACACUGCGGGGGAUCUCUGGGGACACUUCUGUCACUUGUAUUUUAUUGCACUAAGAGCCUAGAAGUUUGAUCUAAGAAUGGCAGAGUCAGCAGCCGGCACUGUGGAGCCCUGAUUUGUGGUAAAAAUACUGAAAUAUGGAAAUCCUCCCACACGAGUUUGUAGUAGCGCUGCAUGAGCCCCUCUCUUGGGUGUCCCCGCCCACUAAUAUCACCUCAUCAUCCGGCACCAGGGGAGCCAAAUACCUGACAUGGGGGAGCUUGGAGGGGGCUGUUCCAGCCCAAUGUGGGCAGCCCCAGCGGGUUGUGCCCCGAAGCUGUUAGUGCUCUGAACAUCACCUCUACUCUGAGGUAGGGUACUGUCGGGUGUGCUGGGCUGCAGGUGUCCUGGGCUGAGGGCAUAUGGUGUCAGGUGUGCUAGGCUGAGGUUGUGUGGGAGUCAGGUGUCCUGAGCUGCAGGUGUCCUGGGCUGAGGUUGCAGGAGUGUCAGGUGUGCUGGGCUAGGUUGUGGACAUCAGGUGUCCUGGGCUAGGUUGUGUGGGUGUCAGGUGUGCUGGGCUGCAGGUGUCCUGGGCUGAGGUUGUGCAGUGUCAGGCAUCCUGGCACCGCCUCUCCACCCAGGGCUGGGCCUGCUUCUGGAACCCCCUUGGGUUCUCUGGGGCUUUGGUGCUCACCACCCUGGUCUAGAAAUGGAAUGCCGGCACGGGUUUCAGAACAAGGGCUCUGAAGCCACAUGACCCUAGGUUUGAAUGGUAAAUGUACUUUUAAUGUGAUCUUGAGAAUUUUUCUUCAACCUCUGUAGCUCUGUUUUCUUACCUCUAAUAGGCCUAUGGCAAGGAUUAGAUGAAAUUAGCACAAAGCGGGAUCUUCCAAAUCCUCCUCCUGGUCUUAAGGUACCUAGGGACUGGUUAAAAGUAGGUUCUUGGACACCCCUAAGACCUGCUAAGUCAGACCCCCGGGUGUGGGGGGCAGUGCAGCCAGCCAGGCCCGGGAAGCCCGGGCCGCGUGUCUCCCCAGCGUUCUCCAGCUCUCAGCAGCACCCGCACUGCAGCUGGGCUCCCUGCGCCUGGAGCCCCGGGUGCUACCCCCGACCACCACCGUGUGGUGCUGGCGCUGGGUGACUCACACUCUGCCAGCUGUGCCCCAAGCAAAGCCUCCGCGAUGGUUGCGGGCUGAAUCAAUUGUGUCCUCCAGAUUCAUAAGCUGCCGGUCGAACUCCCAGGACCUCAGAAUGUGGCUUUAUGUGGAGCUGGGGUCUCUACGGCGGCCAGUAAGGUAUAAUGAGGUCAUGUGGGUGGGCCCUGAUCCAGCAGGACUGGUGUCCUUCCAAGAAGAGAAGAUGAGGAUACAGCCGUGCACGCGGGGACAGUCAGGAAGGCUGAUGCCAGCAUACCACUGAGAGGGUCAUCUAAGUCCAGCUCAAGGUCCUCAAAGCCCACAGUUGCUGCAGUCAUAGAAGAGGAUCUCAAGCAGUGGAUUCAUUCUGCCUCCUUCCGCCAAGCGAGUAAAAAUCUCAUUCACAGGACAAUCA